AGGACGAACGCUGGCGGCGCGCCUAACACAUGCAAGUCGAACGUGAAGCUCGGAGCUUGCUCCGGGUGGAAAGUGGCGAACGGGUGAGUAACACGUGAGAAACCUGCCCCGAAGACCGGGAUAACACCGGGAAACCGGUGCUAAUACCGGAUGCCCUCACAGGAUCGCAUGGUCCAGUGAGGAAAUGGAUUCCGCUUCGGGAUGGUCUCGCGGCCUAUCAGCUUGUUGGUGGGGUAACGGCCUACCAAGGCUUCGACGGGUAGCUGGUCUGAGAGGAUGUCCAGCCACACUGGGACUGAGACACGGCCCAGACUCCUACGGGAGGCAGCAGUGGGGAAUCUUGCGCAAUGGGCGAAAGCCUGACGCAGCGACGCCGCGUGCGGGAUGAAGGCCUUCGGGUUGUAAACCGCUUUCAGCAGGGACGAAAUUGACGGUACCUGCAGAAGAGCCCGGCAACUACGUGCCAGCAGCCGCGGUAA
rnacentral:rRNA from 1 species